rnacentral:lncRNA from 1 species
UUCUGCUAAUAUGUACGUGGGGUUGUGGCACAAAAGUAUAUUUCCUCGUAAAAUUGUAUGGGUAGCUAACAGAGAAAACCCCCUUGCAGUUAAAGACACCUUGGCUACUUUGAGAAUCGGCAGCAAUGGAAAUCUGGAGCUUGUAGAUGGGAAGCAGAGUUCUGUAUGGUCAACCAAUGUUUCGGUGUCAACUAAUGGUUCGGCUGCAGUUCUUUUGGACAGUGGAACCUUUGUUCUCAAAGAUNNNNNNNNNNNNNNNNNNNNAAGGUUUCAGCAGUCUCUUUCUUAUUGUUUACAUAAUACUUAACAAGCCAAAGACAUUAGUCUAACAACUGUAGCCGUCAUAUUCGUAUUUUGUCAGGCAUGGCACUUAUGGAAUCAAGGCAGGGGAUUGGAGUUAGUAGACGAAGUAUUGGCUGAUUUAUAUUCGUCAGCAGAAGUAAUGAGAUGCCUGCAGAUUGGGCUUCUUUGUGUACAAGACAAUGCUGUGGAUAGGCCAAGCAUGCUAGAAGUAGUUCUCAUGCUAAGUAGUAACACAGACAGUCCACAACCAAAGCAGCCUACAUUCACUUUCCACAACCCCGUCUCUCCUCCUCAACCACAUUAUGCGAAAAGCACUUGUUCCAGAAAUGAAGCUACCAUAACAAUAAUCGAAGGGCGAUGAUAACUACAACUUUUUGCAUCACAAAAUUCUUUAGAUUAAGCUGCAUUUCAGACUUCAGGUCAAUCAUUAUGCAAUGUUGUAAUCAGUUUACAUAUAUGGAAACCAAGGUGUUGAAGUUUUGAUAAUCAGUUUCGAUUAUGGUGAAUAAUGAUGCUUCUUCUUUCAUCUUGGACCCUAAGUUAUCGAGUCAAAAAUCUCCAGAAGGAGCCUAAAGUUGAUGUCAAAUUUGUCUCCCAUCGUUUUUGAACUAGUGCCCGAUCAGUCAUAGAACUUUCAAUAUUACUCGCCUAAGCUUAGGUCUCUAUAGACGCUUCUCUUCUUUCAAUAGUAGACCUAUCUUUCAAAAACUGUAAUACUUUGUUGUUUUUCUUGUUCAUCUCCAGUUUGCUUCCCUCCCAGUAUAGUGCUCAGCUCUAGAACAUGACUCCUUCAAUCCCAUUAGCACCAGGAGAAACUCUAACUCUAGUCUCCCUAAUCAUUUACUCAGUACACCCAUUACAAAAGGCCCAAAGCAAGAAAGCUUACAAGUACCCAACACCUAAAGCCCAAAAGAAACCUUUAAAUUGUGGACCUUUUGGAAAUUUGUGUGAGAGCCAUCCGAAGAGCUAGAGCAUCUGCUCGCACUUUUUCCCUUGACCCCUUUCAGGUGAUCCAUUGCAAAAGUUUUAAUCUUUUACAUCAGUCAUUUUACAUUAUCAAUCUUUUUAGUUAAUGAUGUUGAUGGGUGUUUUGAUUAUUUCAUUUUCAGAUUGAUUGGGUGUUAGAUAUUUCCUGGGUUUAAUUUUUCUUUUUCCCAAUUUGUUUGGUGCUGAAUUUACCUACCUAAUGAUUUCUUUGCUUGUAAAAUCUGGGUCUCUCUUUGGAUGAACUAUCAUACACUGCUUCGCUUCCUUCACUUAAAUUUCAAUUCUUUAUUGUUAAUUGUUUCCAUGGUUGAAAACAAUGGCUUAAAUUUUUAGUGGUACUGAAAGUGACCAGAGAAGACUGAGAAGAUAGAUUUAAUGUUUAUUUUAGGUAAUUUGGUGUAGAAAAAUUCCCCUUACUCUUGGGGUUUGUAGUACAUGAAGAUUUCCAAAGUGGAUUGACCCGUAUUGAUGCUUUUAUACUCUGCACAUACGGCACGAGUCGUAAGCACUUCUAAGUCUUUUUUGCAUGAAGUUGAAUCCUGUCAAUGAAUACAAGGAUAUCCAGUUUUCUUGCCUUCUGUUGAAAUGUUCUUUCAUCCAUGCUAUAAAAUUACCCAAAUAUCUGUAACAUUUUUGAUGAAGUGGUGCGAGGUUUUUGAUGCCAGUCACCUAAUCAUUUACUCUGUACACCCAACAUCUUGAGCCCAAAAUGAAGACUUCAAAUUAAGAACCUUUUGGUGCACUGACUGUGACUGCUUUCAAUUGCAGCUCUUGGAAUAGGCAGUUCAGCUUUCUUCUUUGAACUGGUGAGUCCCCUGCCCUCACUUCCCUCUGACUCCUCUCAGGUAUUUUCAUUUCUUGUUUCAUUUAAUGUAAAUUGAGCAUUGGCAUAUUGAUUUAGUAAGUAAUUUCAGGUAGUAUAUUCCAUUUCUUAAUACCAUACUUUUUUAUUCUUUUCCUUGCAUGUAAUUUGGGCCUCUCUCAAGAUGACAAAUAUCAUAUGGUUCUUUGCUUCCUUCGCUUCAACUCCAAUUCAUUUCUCAAUACUACACCAUGUCCUUGGUUGAUAAUCUGAAAGUGACCGAAGAAGAUGGUGAAAUGUGGACUGUAUCAAUGGUUUGUGUUGUAACAAUGUUACAGCCCAAGGUAUUUACUGGCUUAAUUGUGUGUAUCAGAGCCUGACACUCUUCGCGUUGGUUAUUUUUCAUCCCAACUAGUAUGUGUCAUUCCUUUAUUCCUGCAUAUUUGACUGAGUUGAUGGUAAUUGAAAUAUAUAUAUAUAUAUAUAUAUAUANNNNNNNNNNNNNNNNNNNNAUAUAUAUAUAUAUAAUAUAUGUAUCAAUGUAUGUAUAUAUAUGUAUAGAUCAGCUGCCCAUUUGAAUUGGUUAUUUAGAACAAUGUUUACCGAGUCAAAUGAUUUCCAAAAGUCAGCUUGCUCCACUAGGAACCUAAGAAUUGUUAUUUUUUUGCUGAGACAGGUAUCCAGGGUUAUUCAAAAUUUUCUGGUCAUAAUUUUCAAAGGACUGAGAAAACAAUUUCUACAUAGUAAAAAAUGAUAAAUUUCAUUUAGUCUAUUGAAAAUUCACAAAUAUAUGCUAUAUUAGUUGAAAAGUUGGAAAUAAGCAUCCUGCGUUUGGUAGGAAAUCAACACCCUUGAUACAUAAAUAUUAUCAUCUUUAGUUAGUAAAGUUCUGCUUCUGAGUUCCACCAGAAACAGUUCAUAAUUGUCAUUAUUUUGAUGAUCUCGCUACUAAGAUGCCAAUAGGUGUUGAAACCAGUAGUGUUCGUGUUUUAAAUACUUCCAUGUUCUUCAUAUUAAUCUUCAGCUUGCUUCCAUCACAAUAUUGGGCUGAAGUUUAUAAUGUUACUUCUUCACAGCCAUUGGCACAGGGACAAACUCUAGUUUCUCCUAACCAAGUUUUUGAAUUGGGAUUCUUUAGUCCUAAUAGUUCUGCUAAUAUGUACGUGGGGUUGUGGCACAAAAGUAUAUUUCCUCGUAAAAUUGUAUGGGUAGCUAACAGAGAAAACCCCCUUGCAGUUAAAGACACCUUGGCUACUUUGAGAAUCGGCAGCAAUGGAAAUCUGGAGCUUGUAGAUGGGAAGCAGAGUUCUGUAUGGUCAACCAAUGUUUCGGUGUCAACUAAUGGUUCGGCUGCAGUUCUUUUGGACAGUGGAACCUUUGUUCUCAAAGAUGACAUGGGAGCUGAUUUGUGGCAGACUUUUGAUUAUCCUAGUGACACACUUCUGCCAAACAUGAUGCUGGGAUUCGAUAGUAAUACUGGAAUCUGGAAUUUGUUGACAUCAUGGAAAGGUGAAAAUGAUCCAU